rnacentral:rRNA from 1 species
GACGAACGCCUGGCGGCGCGCCUAACACAUGCAAGUCGAACGAGAGAGAGGGAGCUUGCUUCCUCAAUCGAGUGGCGAACGGGUGAGUAACGCGUGAGGAACCUGCCUCAAAGAGGGGGACAACAGUUGGAAACGACUGCUAAUACCGCAUAAGCCCACAGGUCGGCAUCGACCAGAGGGAAAAGGAGCAAUCCGCUUUGAGAUGGCCUCGCGUCCGAUUAGCUAGUUGGUGAGGUAACGGCCCACCAAGGCAACGAUCGGUAGCCGGACUGAGAGGUUGAACGGCCACAUUGGGACUGAGACACGGCCCAGACUCCUACGGGAGGCAGCAGUGGGGAAUAUUGCACAAUGGGGGAAACCCUGAUGCAGCGACGCCGCGUGGAGGAAGAAGGUCUUCGGAUCGUAAACUCCUGUUGUUGAGGAAGAUAAUGACGGUACUCAACAAGGAAGUGACGGCUAACUACGUGCCAGCAGCCGCGGUAAAACGUAGUCACAAGCGUUGUCCGGAAUUACUGGGUGUAAAGGGAGCGCAGGCGGGAAGACAAGCUGGAAGUGAAUCUAUGGGCUCAACCCAUAAACUGCUUUCAAAACUGUUUUUCUUGAGUAGUGCAGAGGUAGGCGGAAUUCCCGGUGUAGCGGUGGAAUGCGUAGAUAUCGGGAGGAACACCAGUGGCGAAGGCGGCCUACUGGGCACCAACUGACGCUGAGGCUCGAAAGUGUGGGUAGCAAACAGGAUUAGAUACCCUGGUAGUCCACACCGUAAACGAUGAUUACUAGGUGUUGGAGGAUUGACCCCUUCAGUGCCGCAGUUAACACAAUAAGUAAUCCACCUGGGGAGUACGACCGCAAGGUUGAAACUCAAAGGAAUUGACGGGGGCCCGCACAAGCAGUGGAGUAUGUGGUUUAAUUCGACGCAACGCGAAGAACCUUACCAAGUCUUGACAUCCUGCGACGAUGCUGGAAACAGUAUUUUCCUUCGGGACGCAGAGACAGGUGGUGCAUGGUUGUCGUCAGCUCGUGUCGUGAGAUGUUGGGUUAAGUCCCGCAACGAGCGCAACCCUUACUGUCAGUUACUACGCAAGAGGACUCUGGCAGGACUGCCGUUGACAAAACGGAGGAAGGUGGGGAUGACGUCAAAUCAUCAUGCCCUUUAUGACUUAGGCUACACACGUACUACAAUGGCGUUAAACAAAGAGAAGCAAGACCGCGAGGUGGAGCAAAACUCAGAAACAACGUCCCAGUUCGGACUGCAGGCUGCAACUCGCCUGCACGAAAGUCGGAAUUGCUAGUAAUCGUGGAUCAGCAUGCCACGGUGAAUACGUUCCCGGGCCU